GGAUCUGGGAAGGAAUCAAAUCACCACGGUGGAAGAAAAUGCCUUCGACAGUUUGUUAAAUUUACACACACUACGUCUGAGUUCCAACAAGAUAACUACAAUUCAAAACAAUACCUUUAACGGUUUGCACAAUAUACAGACACUGAGACUUUGGGGGAAUGAGAUCACUGAACUGGGGAAUAAUAUCUUCCAUGGUUUGUCAAAGU